AUUUUAUUUAUUGCUAAACAUCUUUGAAGCAUUUUCGGUAUUGAGUUUUUGUUGGAGCAUGGCUGGCCUUGGCUUCGAGUGGCCACUUGCUGCUAAACAAAUUUCAGGGAAGCUUAAGGAAACCAUAUCUUUGAUGCAAAACUUGUGAGGAGUAAAUGCCUUAAAUGGUUACUUGGGACGGAGAUAAAUCGUAUUAAUAAGAUCAUCUAUCAGUUUUGGGGCUAUAUCUUGCGUUAGUUGGA